rnacentral:rRNA from 1 species
UACGAAGGGGGCUAGCGUUGUUCGGAAUUACUGGGCGUAAAGCGCGCGCAGGCGGCUAUCCAAGUCAGUGGUGAAAGCCCGGAGCUUAACUCCGGAACUGCCAUUGAAACUGUUUAGCUUGAGGACGAGAGAGGUGAGUGGAAUUCCCAGUGUAGAGGUGAAAUUCGUAGAUAUUGGGAAGAACACCGGUGGCGAAGGCGGGUCUCUGGGCCGAUACUGACGCUGAGGAGCGAAAGCGUGGGGAGCGAACAGG